CGCAAGAACAGAAAGUUGCACAACAGAAGCUUAACACAGAUAGUCUAUCUGUUUACAGGACCGAAGGAAGCAAGAAGAAGCUUCAGAGCCUGAAGAUAGAAAUAAUGAAAGAAACAAAGAAAAAAGGAAGAAGAAAGGAAGUUGGAAGGAAGAACAAAAGAAAGAACCAGAACUACAUGAGAACUGAGUUUUGAAAUAAAGCUGGAUUAAGGAAAACAGUUGGGAACAAAUGGAGGACUCCAGGAAGCCCAGCUACAUGGCACGAAUACUGAAGAAGAGAAUGAGUGUCCUCGGCAUGAGGCGGCCAUUACUUUACUCUUAGAAAGGAAAUCAUGUGUAAGGAAUCUCCUAUAGUUUUCUGUGGCAUGCAGUUUGUGAGAGCAAGGAGCAUUAGAAGAAGUGUGAGUCCUGCAGGGGAGAGGGAACCUCUGUAGACAUCUGCAUCCUGGAAUUUGUGUGAUUAUUAGGACUUAGGUUUAUUUCCAAAAUGUAAUGCUGGUCUUGUCUAUCUCAGAAUUCUAGUGCUAUUCUGUAUUGCCUAUAUGAUGGAUUGCACUUUGUCAGUUUCUGCUACUUCAAUUUCUUUGGAAAACCAGAAGUAAGCCUAAACAUCAGAUAUGAAUAAGCUUAAUGGUUGAACAAAGUAUUCCACCAUCAAAAAAGAAAAAAAAAAGGCAUGGUUGCUCCAUGUAUCUGUUGUCUAGAAAACUUAUUUUGUUGGCUAUCUGAGCAAAAAGAAAGAGCUCAAGACUACUACUGUUCAUAUUCAGGGGACAGAA